CGGGACGGGUGAGUAAUGUCGUGGGAAACUGCCUGAUGGAGGGGGAUAACUACUGGAAACGGUAGCUAAUACCGCAUAACGUCGCAAGAACCAAAGGGGGGGACCGUUCGGGCCUCUUGCCAUCGGAUGUGCCCAGAUGGGAUUAGCUAGUAGGUGGGGUAACGGCUCACCUAGGCGACGAUCCCUAGCUGGUCUGAGAGGAUGACCAGCCACACUGGAACUGAGACACGGUCCAG
rnacentral:rRNA from 1 species